rnacentral:lncRNA from 1 species
CAGCUGGAACAUACGGACACUGCCAUUAAGAUCAUGCCCCAAGUAAUCUCUUUCAGCCUGGAUUCUGGAAUUAAGACAUUUGCAGCUGACCUGGACCAACCUGAAGCCUGGAGUCAGUCAAGUCUAACUGAGCCUAGCUGAGAUCAGAUUAAUCAUCCAUGGGUAUAAAUCAGCAGAUGAUAAAUGCAAAGCAGGAGACAGCAAUAAAACACUAUCAACUGGAGCUUCUGCAGCAGACACUGCUGGCUGCCUGACCAAUGACCAGCUCCCUCAUCCUUCUGUGUCAAAGAAGAGCCCACCUCUCCUGACAGCCAGAAAGUGCUGGAUCCUUGCUUUUGAGCUUUCCUGGCAGUGAGGGGCGUUCGUGGAAAUCAAUCUGGGCUAAUGACAUGUAAAGGAAAGUUUGCUGUGUUUGGAGGAGACUUCCAGAAAAUACUCCUCCCUGCUCCAUGAUUAAAAUGCUGCUGU